UAAGUUUCAUGCAUUUGCUACAGGUUGAGAGAUCAAGACUAUCAGCAAGCACGAAGAAUCGUGGAGAUUCUUUUCUCAAGGUGUAUGUCGGAUAAAGUAAGAAGGAAAAAAGAUGCAACAUUUUCAGCAUUGAGCCUUGUGGGUAUGUGCAAUGGCUUAUGUUUCAAAUUUUUUGUGCUCUGUGGCUGUUUUUGUUUUGGGAGAUUUGUUAUCAAGUCUGUUUUUUUAAUCUCGUUAUCACUAUUAUUAUGUCUUCAAGAAAUGGAGGAUAAAUGAUUGAAGGUAUGUUGUUUUUCUCA